rnacentral:rRNA from 1 species
UACGGGGGGGAGCAAGCGUUGUCCGGAAUUAUUGGGCGUAAAGAGCUCGUAGGCGGCCUGUCGCGUCAAUUGUGAAAGCCCGGGACUCAACCCCGGGUCUGCAGUCGAUACGGGCAGGCUAGAGUGCGGUAGGGGAGAUCGGAAUUCCUGGUGUAGCGGUGAAAUGCGCAGAUAUCAGGAGGAACACCGGUGGCGAAGGCGGGGUCUCUGGGCAGUAACUGACGCUGAGGAGCGAAAGCAUGGGGAGCGAACAGG